rnacentral:rRNA from 1 species
GACGAACGCUGGCGGCGUGCUUAACACAUGCAAGUCGAACGGUAAGGCCCUGCUUUUGUGGGGUGCUCGAGUGGCGACCGGGUGAGUAACACGUGAGUAACCUGCCCUUGACUUUGGGAUAACUUCAGGAAACUCGGGCUAAUACCGGAUACGUGCUCCUGCUGCAUGGUGUGGGUUGUAAAGUUUCGGCGGUUGGGGAUGGACUCGCGGCAUAUCCGCUUGUUGGUGGGGUAGUGGCUUUCCAAGGCUUUGACGGGUAGCCGGCCUGAGAGGGUGACCGGCCACAUUGGGACUGAGAUACGGCCCAGACUCCUACGGGAGGCAGCAGUGGGGAAUAUUGCACAAUGGGCGGAAGCCUGAUGCAGCAACGCCGCGUGCGGGAUGACGGCCUUCGGGUGGUAAACCGCUUUCGCCUGUGACGAAGCGUGAGUGACGGUAAUGGGUAAAGAAGCACCGGCUAACUACGUG